GAAGGCAUGCUGGAGCAAGAAGAAAGAAAAAGAGAAACCCAGUCAAUGCGUGGCUACCAUAUGCUAUGCUAGACAAAAUCACAAGCUUCCUGGAGGACAAGGAUGAACCUCUGGUCCCACACAGGAUUGGACUUGACAUGGAUUUGGGACAGUCUUUAUUGGAGCUUGGAAUGUCACUGUGAUCCACCUUAAUCAGAAGCAGACCAUGGGCAAAUGUGCUGCAACAGGGGUGGACACCCAGCAGGGGCCACCCGGGCUAGCCUGGGAACCUCGCUUGCCUGUAGGCAGUACCCAGGCACGCACACGCACGUACACGCAUAGAUACGUAUUAAUUCUUGAAGCAGUACUUCCUCUUAUUACACCUGAUACACUCUAGUCUUCCCUUUUCUAUUUCUUCCUAUCCCAAUUCAUUCCACUACAUAAAGGCAUGCUGCUCUUGUCUCACUAAAUUGAUUUCAUGCUCCUCUAAUGAGUUGCAACUUUAGUUUCAAAAGCACUGGUCUAUACUUUUCUUUAUAUUGUUUUCCUUUGUAGCACUUACUAUAAUUAUU